rnacentral:tRNA from 1 species
AUUUAUUUAUUUUAUAAAAAAUAUUUUAUUUACAAUAAAAAGAAUAAUAAAAA